CAGUCUGUCAUGUAAGCAGAGUAACUUAGAUGCAUGUAUUAUGCAUAUUUGAAUAGGUAUUUAUAAGCACUUUAACAUUAUGUUUAACAAAAUUUGGGGAAAUAAAAUUUUUAGGUGAAAAAUUUUUAGGUGAAAAAUG